AUUGAACGCUAACGGCGUGCUUAACACAUGCAAGUCGAGCGGCAGCACAGUAGUAGCAAUACUAUGGGUGGCGAGCGGCGGACGGGUGAGUAAUGCAUAGGAAUCUGCCUUGUAGUGGGGGAUAACCCGGGGAAACUCGGGCUAAUACCGCAUAAUCUCUACGGAGCAAAGUGGGGGACCGUAAGGCCUCACGCUAAAAGAUGAGCCUAUGUUGGAUUAGCUAGUUGGUAGGGUAAAGGCCUACCAAGGCAACGAUCCAUAGCUGGUCUGAGAGGAUGAUCAGCCACACUGGGACUGAGACACGGCCCAGACUCCUACGGGAGGCAGCAGUGGGGAAUAUUGGACAAUGGGCGAAAGCCUGAUCCAGCAACGCCGUGUGUGUGAAGAAGGCCUUCGGGUUGUAAAGCACUUUUAGUUGGGAAGAAAAGCUCAAGACUAAUACCCAAGAUGAGUGGACGUUACUCGCAGAAUAAGCACCGGCUAACUCUGUGCCAGCAGCCGCGGUAA
rnacentral:rRNA from 1 species